rnacentral:lncRNA from 1 species
CUGCAUCUGUGGUUGUUUUAACUGUAUGCAUGAAGAAUAAAAUUUGGACAGUGCACACAUAGGACUUGCAGGGACUCACAGUGUGUCAUAUUUUGCACUUUUUAUGAAUGUUGAUAUGUUUUCAGAAUAAUUUAUAACUGCAAUUGAAAACUGAAUGGCUAUUGAUUAAAUUUUAGUUUCAAAAACUAAUUGACAUAUAAAGCUUCAUAAAUCCUUUUAGAAAAGGAUGAGUAUAAAUUAAAAACUAAUUACAGCAAAGGCUUAUAAAAUACUCCAAUUCCAGUUCUAUGGUUAUAUACUGUUGUAUGCUAUGAAGGUGUUCCUUUGUCUUCUUAAUCAAAACUCCUGCCAUAGAAUUAAAUAUGAACCAUAAAAGAUAUUUUAAUUGCUAAUGAUUACUUUAUAUAUAGUAUCCCUUUUCAAGAGAGUUUAUAAGAAUUUUUAAUCAGUAAUAUUUAAAAAUUUAAAAAAGAACAGAAGUGGGCCAUGUUAAGGCAGCAGAACCAAUUGCCAGUUAUCUGUAACCUCUAUCCUUGAUGCUAAUAAGCCUUUUACCUUCGAAGACACUAAGCAUCUGGGAUCUAAGUAGUGACACCUAUUAGUUACAAUGGUUUCCUUUUACCUUCUAAGCAAUCUGAUAGAUAAACCUCCAGGAAUCCCACAAAAUUGGACCCUUAAUUGACCAAAUGAAUGGCUGUCUCUCUUUUACAGUAUAAAUUGAAAAGUGAGUUUGCUCCCAUGAGGUAAGACAUAACUUAGGAAAGAAAUCACGCUGAGACUCCACUUGCCACAUUAGUGUGCCCUUGUAAUCUCACCAAAAGCCACCCACCAACAGUAGGACAAAGUGAUUCUUCUAAAACGCACAUCGUUCUUCAAAUGAUUCAUCUCAAUUUCAUCUUCACCAUCACUUUAGAAACAUGCCUGAAACCACAUUUAUUUUAAAGAGUUUUAAGUAACAUUUGAGGAUCACCUGAUAUAAUAGAGAAUACUCUUUUCAAGCAAUAUAGCAGCAGAGAAGGUAGCUAAAGAGGGUGUUCUGAGAUUUUUUUUUUUUCCUGUGUGACUUCCUUUCAAAUACUGGGAAAUAUGAAGUAUUUUAAAGGCAAUCUGUGAAAUAGCAAUUUUAUAUGUAGUAUGGUUAUUCUUUUUGUCUACACUUCUUUAAGUACUAAACAUACUAGAAAUUAUAAUUCAUAUGCAAUGGCAAUAUGAGAAUUUACAUACUUCAAAUAAAAACAAUUUAAAUUCAUUUAAAAAAACCAAUUCAAUUACAAUUAAGUAACUGGGUAAUAUUUUCACAAAAAUCCAUUAAAUCAUAUUCUUUCAUUAAAAUAGUUUAUACAUUUUUAAUACAAAUGAAAAACAGAACCAAAGAGAUAAUAAAAUAGCAGC